UGCAGUCGAACGAUGAAGCCCAGCUUGCUGGGUGGAUUAGUGGCGAACGGGUGAGUAACACGUGAGUAACCUGCCCUUGACUCUGGGAUAAGCCUGGGAAACUGGGUCUAAUACCGGAUAGGAACGUCCACCGCAUGGUGGGUGUUGGAAAGAUUUAUCGGUCAUGGAUGGACUCGCGGCCUAUCAGCUUGUUGGUGAGGUAAUGGCUCACCAAGGCGACGACGGGUAGCCGGCCUGAGAGGGUGACCGGCCACACUGGGACUGAGACACGGCCCAGACUCCUACGGGAGGCAGCAGUGGGGAAUAUUGCACAAUGGGCGAAAGCCUGAUGCAGCGACGCCGCGUGAGGGAUGACGGCCUUCGGGUUGUAAACCUCUUUCAGUAGGGAAGAAGCGAAAGUGACGGUACCUGCAGAAGAAGCACCGGCUAACUACGUGCCAGCAGCC
rnacentral:rRNA from 1 species